ensembl:Y_RNA Y_RNA Y RNA
GGCUGGUCCAAAGGCAAUGAGUUAUCUCAAUUGGUUGUUUACAGUCAAUUACAGAUCAAACUCCUUGUUCUACUCUUUUCCCAUCACUCACUACUGCACUUGACUAGUCUUAA